CUACCCGCUGAACUUAAGCAUAUCAA
rnacentral:rRNA from 1 species